AGUUUUAAACGGCUUUAGUUUUCUCCCGUUCCUUUUCCUCCUUUUUUCUUCCUUCCACUUCAGUAUGGACUAAUUUUAGGCAUUCGUAAAUAAAAUUUAUGGACUAAUAUCGGCAUGCCUGGAUAAUAAUUAUUAUCAUUUUUGUUGUUAUCCGCGACUUUAUAAGCAAAAUUUACUACUUCAUAAAUUUAAAUGUUUCUAAUACAAAGUUUAUAUUACAUAUUUCCAACGAUUAUCACGAAAGGCUCAUUUUAUUGCUUCACGCAAUGAUUCAUACAUCUAUUUAUAUGUGAAAAAGCUUCAAUAUUGCGGUAUAUAUAAGAAGCACAAUAUUGCUAUGAGAAUCAAUCAGGUAGCAAUAUGAAUCAAUCGGUGAAACUUUUUGUCUUCCUUUUCGCCAUUAUUCUCAUGUCAAACUGCUUCAUUACGCUCGCUGACGCUAAGUGCAUCUGUAAAAAUGGGCGCCCGAUUUCUGGUAGUCUAGGCCUGAUCUGUAUAGUACGUUAUAAAUAUUGAACCAUAUUAAUCGAUAAUACAAUAUGUUAAUUGAGAAUACUUUCUUUUAGAAAAUCUGUCUGAUCCAACAAGCACAAGGAUAAAUAUAUAUAUCGAUAUGGCACACCACUAUUAUUAAUUUUUCUUGUGUGAUUCAGUAUUAUUAGAAAAUGAAGCAUACUUACAAAAAAACAUAUUCAUGUCUUUUCCUGUGAUCUUCACGUAUAUCUGUCAAAUCACGUGCAAUCCCAGUAGGGUUAAAUGUCAACCACGUCGCUAAGGAAGCCAUGGUAAACCGGUCAGGUUUCUCGCGAACUGUAUAAUGACGUCCCUGAAAUCGGUAUCUCAGGAAUUCGAUAGCGUGUGCUACAGCGAUUGUACAUCAGAAACCGCAGGGAGCAGUCGUUCGAAGAUCAGCUGAUUCCCCGGGAGGCUUCCAGCGAUGGUUCAGCCGUACCCCUUUCCCUUCAGAAUAGUUCCAUCCCUAACUUGUAUAAGCGAGGUUCUUCGACCUCCCCCUAUGUUCAGCCAACAGCCAUUCACAUUCUGCACUAUUCCACACGCCAUUCGCUUGAAAUUUACCGUCCGGCAGAUUGCGAGAAACAAACGGUUCCUCUGCUCACUUCCAAGACUACUUGAAUCCCGAUUCAACGGUGAACUAACGGCUCCGCGCUUUUGGGAAGAAGCUUCGUCGUUGCCUCGUGAUGCGGUUACUGGUAGAGAGAAAUACACUUACUACUGGAUAAAAUGGAAAACCACUGAAUGGCGAAUAGAAUGGUGGACCUCUAUGAAAUGGAAAACUGUUCUAUAGAAUGGGGACAUCGUUCCACGAUUUCCCGGUUUUUGUCAAAAUUGUAACGGACUCCUCUUUUCCAUCAAACAACAUUUUGAUUUCCAAUUAAAAAUAUUUUUCCGACUGGAGAGAUGAAAGUAUAUCAUAUAAAGUUUGGAUAAAAUACAAGGAAAAUAAUGUUACAUGAAAAA